rnacentral:lncRNA from 1 species
CAGCAGCRACAAUCCCCGCGCCCGUCGGUCCCCGGCGGAGAAGCAUCCCCCGGGCGCGAGGCGGCGGAGCUGGGGCCGCGGGGCCGUCGUGCUGGAGAUCUCAGCAUCUCCGUCAGCAUCACAGCCCGUGYUUCACAGGCCAAGGAGAAGAUGAGGGAGAUGAAAUGACCGGAGCAAGGUUGCAUGGUAAGUCAGUGGUGGAAAGCAGAAGCCAAGCAUCCCAUCUGAAUCCCGUCUCUGCUUGGCAAAUACCUCCAAGCCUGAGAAGCUUCUUUAUCUCUGAGCUAUAAAUCUGUGUCAGGUGCCUGCUWUUCUUUGCAGGAAAGGCAGCACAGAGCAUCCACCGGGAAGGAACCCACGGGGCCUGCAGGGUUGCCCAGAUAUCCCAACUAUGUUAACUCUAAGCGGGUAAG